GGGCACGGGCGGCGUGCUAAUACAUGCAAGUCGAGCGGACAGAAGGGAGCUUGCUCCCGGAUGUUAGCGGCGGACGGGUGAGUAACACGUGGGUAACCUGCCUGUAAGACUGGGAUAACUCCGGGAAACCGGAGCUAAUACCGGAUAGUUCCUUGAACCGCAUGGUUCAAGGAUGAAAGACGGUUUCGGCUGUCACUUACAGAUGGACCCGCGGCGCAUUAGCUAGUUGGUGAGGUAACGGCUCACCAAGGCGACGAUGCGUAGCCGACCUGAGAGGGUGAUCGGCCACACUGGGACUGAGACACGGCCCAGACUCCUACGGGAGGCAGCAGUAGGGAAUCUUCCGCAAUGGACGAAAGUCUGACGGAGCAACGCCGCGUGAGUGAUGAAGGUUUUCGGAUCGUAAAGCUCUGUUGUUAGGGAAGAACAAGUGCAAGAGUAACUGCUUGCACCUUGACGGUACCUAACCAGAAAGCCACGGCUAACUACGUGCCAGCAGCCGCGGUAAUACGUAGGUGGCAAGCGUUGUCCGGAAUUAUUGGGCGUAAAGGGCUCGCAGGCGGUUUCUUAAGUCUGAUGUGAAAGCCCCCGGCUCAACCGGGGAGGGUCAUUGGAAACUGGGAAACUUGAGUGCAGAAGAGGAGAGUGGAAUUCCACGUGUAGCGGUGAAAUGCGUAGAGAUGUGGAGGAACACCAGUGGCGAAGGCGACUCUCUGGUCUGUAACUGACGCUGAGGAGCGAAAGCGUGGGGAGCGAACAGGAUUAGAUACCCUGGUAGUCCACGCCGUAAACGAUGAGUGCUAAGUGUUAGGGGGUUUCCGCCCCUUAGUGCUGCAGCUAACGCAUUAAGCACUCCGCCUGGGGAGUACGGUCGCAAGACUGAAACUCAAAGGAAUUGACGGGGGCCCGCACAAGCGGUGGAGCAUGUGGGUUAAUUCGAAGCAACGCGAAGAACCUUACCAGGUCUUGACAUCCUCUGACAACCCUAGAGAUAGGGGCUUUCCCUUCGGGGACAAAGUGACAGGGGGGUGCAUGGUUUGUCGUCAGCUUCUUGUCCUGGAGAUGUUGGGGUUAAGUCCCGCAAACGAGGCGCAACCCUUGGAUCUUAGUUGGCCAGCAUUCCGGUUGGGGCACUCUUAAGGGUGACUGGCCGGUGGACAAACCGGGAAG
rnacentral:rRNA from 1 species